CAUAAAAAUUAAGCAGGUGACAUGGAAAAGAGUUGACAAAGCACAUUAAAUAAGGGCAUUUUGCAGGUUUUAAGAGAAAUACACCCUAAAGCCCAAGACCUACCCUUUUCCUGAAUAUAGAAUAAUUUGAGAAAAGGUAUCUCCUAACUUAGAAGAAUACACUGCUUUGCCUCAACAAUCCCGGUGUCAUUCUACUUGCCACACACUCUCCAAUCAAGACCUGAGAUUUAGUUCUCUCCCCUCAUUCUUCAUUCCAAAAAUUAAUUCCUGAUCUUUCCUACAGAGUUCACUGAAGGUAAACUCUUCAGAUGGAGCAACAUGAAUAUGGCUUUCUAGUUCUGCUCUCAUUUUUAGAAGUUUCUGACCUAGAGUAAACUGGAACUUGUCUGAGCUUGCUGAUUAGAAGACUACGUUCUGCCUCUAAAGAUAAGAAAUUAUCAUGGAUCUGCACAAAGAUUUAGCUAUAAGAAUACUCAUCUCAAUGUAAUUCAUAACAGCAAGAAAGUGGAACAACCUAUGAGUCGGAAACGAUUUGGACUGGGCAGUGGGGACUGAGGAAUGUGCAUUUUCAGCAUUCGUCAUCCCCAUGGUGGGGGUCUACCAGAAGUUACAGAGAAAAUACACAUUACAUUGAUGUCGUCUAUGUAUGGUGUACAUUCCUUCUCAGCUCUGACAAGCUCGAUGACACACACAGAAGUCAGAGGCUGCACUCGAACCUGUGAUACUUGAAGCUUAACGUUCACAUCUAUUGUGAGAGAAGGAUUUCUUAUAAUGGUGCACUUGUCUGGUAUGUUUCAGACCGAUAGUUAAGACUAAGGCAAAUAUAGAAAGUUGGUCUUUCUUCAAAGGGUAGAAAAAAAUAUUUUCACUGAUGAAAGGAUUUAGGAGGUUGGAGAUCUAGGUUCUAUCUUCUUUAGCCAGAAGGGUCUCCCAGAAAUUAGGAAAAUUAAGGGCUGUGUCUGUAGAAAUGAUGCAUGGCCAUGUGGAAUCUUUGUAAAUUCCUUGAAAUGCUGGUGAAGGAAGAAUUCAGUGUGAUUUCUUGAUGCAACUGUCAAAAAGCUAGUUCACUGGGGCCAGCCCCACGGCUGAGUGGUUAGGUUCGCGUGCUCCGCUUUGGCAGCCCAGGGUUUUGCCGGUUUGGA